GGGCCCGCACAAGCGGUGGAGCAUGUGGUUUAAUUCGAAGCAACGCGAAGAACCUUACCAGGUCUUGACAUCCCACUGACCGGCUUAGAGAUAGGCUUUUCCCUUCGGGGACAGUGGUGACAGGUGGUGCAUGGUUGUCGUCAGCUCGUGUCGUGAGAUGUUGGGUUAAGUCCCGCAACGAGCACAACCCUUGAUCUUAGUUGCCAGCAUUCAGUUGGGCACUCUAAGGUGACUGCCGGUGAUAAACCGGAGGAAGGUGGGGAUGACGUCAAAUCAUCAUGCCCCUUAUGACCUGGGCUACACACGUGCUACAAUGGACGAUACAAAGGGCUGCAAACCCGCGAGGGGGAGCCAAUCCCAUAAAAUCGUUCUCAGUUCGGAUUGCAGGCUGCAACUCGCCUGCAUGAAGCUGGAAUCGCUAGUAAUCGUAGAUCAGCAUGCUACGGUGAAUACGUUCCCGGGCCUUGUACACACCGCCCGUCACACCACGAGAGUUUGUAACACCCGAAGUCGGUGAGGUAACCUUUACAGGAGCCAGCCGCCGAAGGUGGGACAGAUGAUUGGGGUG
rnacentral:rRNA from 1 species